GCCCUGCAGGAUAGCUCAGCCAGUAGAGCAUGUGACUCUUAAUCUCAAGAGUCAUGAGUUUGAGCCCCACGUUGGGCA
rnacentral:tRNA from 1 species